rnacentral:rRNA from 1 species
CUGGAGACUCCUACGGGAGGCAGCAGUAGGGAAUCUUCGGCAAUGGACGGAAGUCUGACCGAGCAACGCCGCGUGAGUGAAGAAGGUUUUCGGAUCGUAAAGCCCUGUUGUAAGAGAAGAACGAGUGUGAGAGUGGAAAGUUCACACUGUGACGGUAUCUUACCAGAAAGGGACGGCUAACUACGUGCCAGCAGCCGCGGUAAUACGUAGGUCCCGAGCGUUGUCCGGAUUUAUUGGGCGUAAAGCGAGCGCAGGCGGUUAGAUAAGUCUGAAGUUAAAGGCUGUGGCUUAACAAUAGUACGCUUUGGAAACUGUUUAACUUGAGUGCAAGAGGAGAGAGUGGGAUUCCAUGUGUAGCGGUGAAAUGCGUAGAUAUAUGGGGGAACACCGGUGGCGAAAGCGGCUCUCUGGCUUGUAACUGACGCUGAGGCUCGAAAGCGUGGGGAGCAAACAGGAUUAGAAAACCCUGUAGUCCAGAAGUG